rnacentral:rRNA from 1 species
UCAAGCAAUUAAGGGCCUGCGGUGGAUGCCUUGGCGCUUGGGGCCGAAGAAGGGCGUGGCAAGGCUGCGAAAAGCCUCGGCUUGCUGCCUAGCGAGCUUAGCCGGGGAUACCCGAAUGGGGCAACCCAGUACCGCAAAACGGUAUUACCCUCGGUCACCCCUUAAGCCGAGGGGGGCAAGCGGGGGAACUGAAACAUCUAAGUACCCCGAGGAAGAGAAAUCAACAGAGAUUCCCUUAGUAGUGGCGAACGAAAGGGGAAGAGCCCAAAUCUCCUGGACUUAGUGGCUUCGAGGCCUAUGUCCAGAGGAUGUUGUAAGGCCCGGCUGGAAGGCUCGAAUCUUCCAAGGGAGUUACCAACCGAACCCUAGCCGAAGGUCCCUGGAAAGGGCCGCCAUAGAGGGUGAUAGCCCUGUAGGCGAAAGGGGUAGGCUCCCGUCGGUGUCCUUGAGUACCACGGGACACGUGGAAUCCCGUGGGAAUCUGGGGAGACCACUCUCCAAGGCUAAAUACCCCAAGCGACCGAUAGCGGAUAGUACCGCGAGGGAAAGGUGAAAAACACCCCGGGAGGGGAGUGAAAUAGAUCUGAAACCGUGGGCCUACGAACGGUCGGAGCCCCGACGCAAGUCGGGGUGACGGCGUGCCUAUUGAAGAAUGAGCCGGCGACUUGAUCUCCGUGGCUAGGUUAAGCAAUUCUGUUGCGGAGCCGUAGCGAAAGCGAGUCUGAAUAAGGCGUUCCCCGACUUGUCGGGGAAGGUCGCGGGGAUCAGACCCGAAACUUGGUGAUCUACCCAUGGCCAGGGUGAAGCUUCGAUAACAUCGGAGUGGAGGCCCGAACCCUUCAGUGUGGCAAAACUGUGGGAUGAGCUGUGGGUAGGGGUGAAAUGCCAAUCGAACUAGGAGAUAGCUGGUUCUCCCCGAAAUGUAUUUAGGUACAGCCUCGGGUGUUAAGCUGGGGAGGUAGGGCUCUGGAUGAGCUAGGGGGAAAGCAUCUCACCAAACUCAACCAAACCGUGAAUGCCUCAGCUGUAGAGCCCGGGAGUGAGUCCCCGACGGAUAAGCGCCGGGGGCAAGAGGGGAACAACCCAGACCAUCGGCUAAGGUCCCCAAGGUGGGCUAAGUGGAAAAGGCGGUCGAAGCGUGCAGACAACCAGGAGGUUGGCUUAGAAGCAGCCACCCUUCAAAGAGUGCGUAACAGCUCACUGGUCGAAUGUUGCGGCGCCGAUAAUGUACCGGGGCUCAAGCCCACCACCGAAGCCGUGGCUUUCCGAUGCAAAUCGGGAGGGGUAGGGGAGCGUUGCCCGAGCAGCGAAGUCGUCCUGUAAGGGACGGUGGAGUUCGGGGAAGUGACAAUGCCGGCAUGAGUAGCGUAAGGCGUGUGAGAACCACGCCCGCCGAAUACCCGAGGUUUCCUAUGCAAGGUCAUUCCGCAUAGGGUUAGCCGGGCCUAAGCCGAGGGCGAAAGCCGUAGGCGAUGGAUAGCAGGUCAAUAUUCCUGCGCCGCUUGUGUUUCGUUACUAGCUGGGGGGGGACCCAGGAAGGUAAGUGAGGCGUGCCCAAUGGACAUGGCGCGUCCCCAAAUCCGAGGCGUGUCUGGGGAGGCAAAUCCCCCCGGGCGUUAAGCGGAGGAGAGGGGAAAGCUGAGGGGCAACCCGAGGCGAUCUCGCUGAGCCCACACUGGCAAGAAAAGCCUCGCAGUGAGGAACACGGGCGCCCGUACCGCAAACCGACACCGGUGGGUUGGGGUAAGUGCCCUCAGGCGAACGAGGCAACCUUCGUCAAGGAACUCGGCAAUCUAACCCCGUAACUUAGGGAAAAGGGGCGCCCCGACGGAAGUCGGGGUCGCAGGGAACAGGCCCAAGCGACUGUUUAACUAAAACACAGGUCUCUGCUAAAGCGUAAGCUGAAGUAUAGGGGCUGACGCCUGCCCAGUGCCGGAAGGUUAAGGGGAGGGGUUAUCCGUAAGGAGAAGCCCUGAGCCGAAGCCCCGGUGAACGGCGGCCGUAACUAUAACGGUCCUAAGGUAGCGAAGUUCCUUGUCGGGUAAGUUCCGACCCGCACGCAUGGCGUAACGACUUGGGCGCUGUCUCGACGAAGGUCUCGGCGAAGUUGAAGUGCCCGUGAAGAUGCGGGCU